rfam:Ciona intestinalis ciona0023, whole genome shotgun sequence.
AAGAUCAUACUUUUAGGGAUCAUUUCUAUAGUGUGUAUCUUGACAACGUCGUCGUAUUUUGGCGAUACGACAACUGUGAUGAUGAGUCGCAGGAUUCUCCUCUGAGCAUGAAGCUCUACUGUUUGUAAGUUCAGUUACACACAGUGAUUGAGGAUUGUUUUAAUUGCCUUGUUAGCAAUGAAAGGAAGGGAAUUCAUGCUGAGCAGU